CCUACGGGUGGCAGCAGUAGGGAAUAUUGCUCAAUGGGGGAAACCCUGAAGCAGCAACGCAGCGUGGAGGAUGAAGGUUUUAGGAUUGUAAACUCCUUUUGUUAGAGAAGUUUAUUACGAUAUCUAACGAAUUAGCACCGUCUAAUCCCGUGCCAGCAGCCGCGGUAAUACGGAGGGUGCAAGCGUUACUCGGAAUCACUGGGCGUAAAGCGGGCGUAGGCGGGGUAAUAAGUCAGAUGUGAAAUCCUGUAGCUUAACUACAGAACUGCAUUUGAAACUGUGACUCUGGAGUGUGGGAGAGGUAGGUGGAAGUCUUUGUGUAGGGGUAAAAUGCGUAGAGAUCAAGAGGAAUACUCAUGGCGAAGGCGACCUGCUGGAACAUUACUGACGCUGAUGCACGAAAGCGUGGGGAGCAAACAGGAUUAGAUACCCGUGUAGUC
rnacentral:rRNA from 1 species